rnacentral:rRNA from 1 species
CCUACGGGUGGCAGCAGUGAGGAAUAUUGGUCAAUGGACGAGAGUCUGAACCAGCCAAGUAGCGUGAAGGAUGACUGCCCUAUGGGUUGUAAACUUCUUUUAUAUGGGAAUAAAAUGUUCCAAGUGUGGGAUUUUGUAUGUACCAUAUGGAUAAGGAUCGGCUAACUCCGCGCCAGCAGCCGCGGUAAUACGGAGGAUCCGAGCGUUAGCCGGAUUUAUUGGGUUUAAAUGGAGAGUAGGUGGAUUGUUAAGUCAGUUGUGGAAGUUUGCGGCGCAACCGUAAAAUUGCAGUUGAAACUGGCAGUGUUGAGUACAGUAGAGGUGGGCGGAAUUCGUGGUGUAGCGGUGAAAUGCUUAGACAUCACGAAGAACUCCGAUUGCGAAGGCAGUUCAGUGGACUGCAACUGACACUGAGGCUCGAAAGUGUGGGUAUCAAACAGAAUUAGAAACCCGAGUAGUC